rnacentral:lncRNA from 1 species
ACUGUAGCCUGUCAUUUUAAUUGCAGUAAUGUCAUCUUUUGUUAACUUUGAUGUCAUCAACAUAUAGAAACUGACAUAGCUUGCAUGAAAUUAGAUUUUACUUGCAGUUUUUAUAAAAAUUAAACAUCACAAACAGCAAUGCCCAAGAAUAUGUUAUUCAUCAUUUUUGUAUUAAACAUUUUGUAUGAAGAUAUUUGUUUGGUUUGAUUAGUGCUGAGAUCUAAAUGUUUAUGACAAGAACUCAAUUUAAGUGUACUUUACUUUAAUAUAAACUAGAACACACCCGCGAAUUCGCGGGCAUAUACAGCUUGUGAACUGUUGUAGUAUGAUGUUUGUAAAAGAUAAUCAUGUAUCCUGGAGAAUUUCAGAAAAGGUAUCAAAAGCCCUCUCCCUUUUUCCAAAGUUCGAUAUUUGUUUCCUUUCUGUCCUCAGACCACAAUUAUUCUUCUCCUUUGCUACAAUGCAUCUUUUGGUAAAAGUCAAAUUAAAUUAAAAAUUUGCACCGCUUCAAACAUGAAAUAAAUGUAACUACUUGAUAUAUAGACCAUUAUUAGUCUAAUAAAAUAUGCAUGCUUCUAGGAAAGUCGGAUCAAUCACUGCUUUUUCUUUCGAGAGCCUUAUUAACAUGCCAAUGGUAGGAUACGAAUCUUGUAUAAAUGACUAAGGGCGACUAAGGCUAAUUUGAAGGAUGGUCGGAGGGGUCCUGAUCCUGAAAUCCGGAUCUUAAAAACAUGAAAUCCCGAGAUGCAGAAUUUAAAGAAAUAUACCAAAAUCGAAAAAUAUAUUCCCGGAUCCUGUAUUGAUCAAUCCCCAGAUCCCGAGCUUAAAAACAACCGAUCCUGAAAUCCUGAAAAAGGUCUUGCCUCCCUCUAGUCUCUAUCCUUCUUUCAUUUUUGCCAAAUCCCUACUUUCACUUUCAACAAUAAUUUUUUAUGCCCCAUUUAUGUGCAUUAUGUGUUCUAGUCUGUACAUUUGUGCGUUCGUUCUUUCGUUCGUGACGUCCGUCCAUCUGUCCCGCUUCAGGUUAAAGUUUUAAGUCGAGGUAGUUUUUGAUGAAGUUGAAGUCCAAUCAACUCGAAACUUAGUAAAUAUAGUGCCGAGGUGGCAUUAGUGUACUAUGGACACAUUCUUGUUUCCACAUGUUUUACUUAUUUUAGUAUAUAUGCAACUGGUAUGACCCCUUAAAUAGUAAACAGUUUCAUUGAAAACAGUAGACAGAAUACAGAGAGGAUCUAUAUAUUAAAGUAGCAUAAUCGUAAUCGUAGUUUACAUGUAGAUAUAACGCGAAAAAUAAUUGUCCUCUAUAAGGAGGUAUACAACAAAUGGAAGUUUUUAACGACCUUGACUGGCUAUACAGCCCUUGCACGGUCGGUAAGGAGGUAUAAUAGUUGUGGUUCUUGCUAUAUAAGCACCAUGAUAUGGUGAACGCUCUGAUUGGCUUAUUUAUUUUUCAAUUUUCGUUAUCUAUCAUACAAUUGGUUGUUUUAAACCGGAAGUCUUAUCUAUGACUAAAAGUCAGUCUGAUGAUGGAAUCAAUAUCCGGACUCCUUUUUUGUCGUUUUUCUCCAAAAAUAACUCAAUCUGAAUAAUCGUAAGAAUGGAUGACAAAUGCGACUUUGCAUGUUACCUAUAGAACACAGAGGCAUGGUGAUUAAUAAAUCGUGGAAGGAAGAGAAGCGACACACAAAAUGAGAAAUUUUGAAAAAAUGAAAAAUGCAAUACAAAGAUAUAAAUACAUUUUUAAAAUAGAUGUACUAAUAUAUUGUGAAAAAGACUGUUGGUUGAUAAAUUUAUACUUGUUAGAUUUUCAAAAGUAAGUAGCCAAAAAUUGGAACAUGUUAUACCUUUGUUUAGAGGUUUAAUGUUUCAUGUUAGAUUUUCUAAUGUUAAUCUCUCUAAUUUAUUUCUGUAAUGAUUUGAAUUUGUUACUGCAAAUACAGAAGAUCAAAAUGUGUAAACAUGUAUCUUAAAAAUAAUUAUUAAGUGAAAAAAUAACAAUUAAACAGACUGAUCCUCAAUAUAUUUGCAUUGCAUAACUGAUCUGUUAUUUUCAUUAAUUAUGUUGUUGAUAAGCUACAAAUAUGUGUACAUUUUAAGUAUUAUUUAUUUGCUUGUACAGUUAAUGUAGAUAUAAUUUUAUGUAUUAAGUUUUGUAGCUUUGUAAAAUGUUACACUGGAAAAAUUUUGGAAGAAAUCAAAACUUUCAAGUGAAUGUUAAAAGAUAAGGUGCCUAUUAAUACCCUAAAUUUUAUUUUAAAUGCUUAGAUAAUAUCCAAGUUAUAAUAAGUUAUAAAUGUAAACAGUUUAACUUAUUGCUGAUUUCUUGUCUUACAAAUUGUUGGUUGUUGAAUUUCCUCCUUUUACCAGUAACGUUUACACAAUUUGUGUGAGUGUCAUCCAUUAAGAAAUUAUGUAGUUAUAUUAUUAAACAAAUUUUUAUAUUAAGAUGUAACUUGAAUGUAUUUUAAGCUUUCAAGUAACACAGAUUACCUUGAUUCUGUUUCACAUGAAAGCUUUACAAAUAUUGAUGGUGUUGACAAUUCAUAACACAUCAAAAUGAAUAAAAAAGUUUUCUCCAUUAACCUAGGCAAACCCUUUAAACUGAAAUAUUGGGAAUGGAUGGAAUGAUAUCUGUCAGGAAAACCUAUUUCGUUUGCACUAGAAUCUACGUCUUUCACAUGAAAAAAGUGUUGUGACCUGUAUCAUUUGUUAGUUGUAUAGUCCCCUUAUUACAUUUUGGCCAGUUGAUCUGAUAAUGAGUGAGUGAUAUUCAAAUCCAAUUCAUAAAGAGAAACUUAUUUGUUUCUUUAAAUACAGUUGUAUUGGUCAGUUAUAUUGUACAUAAGCAUACUUCUAUUGUAUCAGAUAAUUUAGAAAACAAAUGUUUUUACAAAGACUAUUGAACAUUCACAUUUUAAACAGUAUAUAAAGUAUCUAUAAAAGGAUGUUAUAAUAUGGUUUAUAUAAUUUGAUUAAGUAAAAUUAAAAUUCCAUAUCAGAAUAAUAAUAUGCAAUUCACAUCAUAAAGUCUACACUGUUAAAUGUUGGAUGCUGUAAAAUGGACAGUUGUCUUUCCUGUCCUGACCUAAAAAAGCAGCUCCUGAAUUUUUACGACACAUUCUAUUGUAAAUAAACAUGUCGUCAUUUUUUGUUUUAUUAAAUAUAUAUUAUUAGUUAUUUGCAUUUGAAUGAUUUCUUUAUGGCUGACAUCAUCGAAUGUUGUACACUAUGUUUUGAAAUAUUGACCAAUUCUUCAGUAUGGAGUAAGACAUUGAUAUAGAGCUUCAUUAUGGUUGAAUGAGAUUUAUACAGUUGACAUAUUUUUAUAUAGGGGUUAAGGCCCUUAAAAGUUUCAAAAAAAAUCUUGUUUUUCAAAAUUUAUUUAGAUAUUUUUCUUGUUGUUUCCCCCUUAUCAAAGUAAUUAUUUUGCCCUGUCUAAACAUUGUUCAUAGAUAUGUCAUGUUUAUUUAUUAGAAAAAGGGAGGCUAUGGUUUUAUUGGUUUGAAUUAUAAUUUGUAAGAACAAAGAUGAUGUUAGCCUUAAUGUUUCUAGAUAUAAAAAAAUGGUAUUAAUAUAAUAUCUACCUCAUAAUGUACAUAACUUCACAUAGUUUUUGAAAUUUCUAUGUAUUGUCAAGGAUGA